rnacentral:rRNA from 1 species
GACGAACGCUGGCGGCGUGCUUAACACAUGCAAGUCGAACGGUAAGGCCCUUCGGGGUACACGAGUGGCGAACGGGUGAGUAACACGUGGGUGAUCUGCCCUGCACUUCGGGAUAAGCCUGGGAAACUGGGUCUAAUACCGGAUAGGACCAUGGACUUCACGGUUCGUGGUGGAAAGCUUUUGCGGUGUGGGAUGGGCCCGCGGCCUAUCAGCUUGUUGGUGGGGUAAUGGCCUACCAAGGCGACGACGGGUAGCCGGCCUGAGAGGGUGUCCGGCCACACUGGGACUGAGAUACGGCCCAGACUCCUACGGGAGGCAGCAGUGGGGAAUAUUGCACAAUGGGCGCAAGCCUGAUGCAGCGACGCCGCGUGA